AUGUCAUCUAAGUGCAGACUCACCACAAACCGCAAGUCAAAUAUAUGUCGCCACCUGAUCUCCCAGUCCCCGUACAUUCCCCCUUCCUUGUACACAAGCAUUCUCGACACAGCUGUCCAACCAAUUGUCGUCAUGCGCCCAGCAGGACCAAAUUCCUUCACAAGGUCAUCACCGGAUAACACUAUCAGGGAAAUUGAUAUUCCACAGCUCACUGUCAAGGACCCUGUCGAGCUUCAUGAGAGUUGGGUUGAAUUGCUCGUUGCUCCAGGUGUAGCAACAUCCGUGGAGAUACAUAUCUUUGAGUUGCAGGUUGUUGAGGAAUCCACGGAUAUACAUGUAAUAGGAGAACUAAGAAUGGCCGACCAGAACAAUGAUACAGUUCAAGAUGUACCUUGGUGA
rnacentral:rRNA from 1 species